CGAACGGGUGAGUAACGCGUGAGUAACCUGCCCUGGAGUGGGGGGACAACAGUUGGAAACGACUGCUAAUACCGCAUAAGCCCACGAUCCGGCAUCGGAUUGAGGGAAAAGGAUUUAUUCGCUUCAGGAUGGACUCGCGUCCAAUUAGCUAGUUGGUGAGGUAACGGCCCACCAAGGCGACGAUUGGUAGCCGGACUGAGAGGUUGAACGGCCACAUUGGGACUGAGACACGGCCCAG
rnacentral:rRNA from 1 species